rnacentral:rRNA from 1 species
GAUGAACGCUGGCGGCGUGCCUAAUACAUGCAAGUCGAGCGAACGGACGAGAAGCUUGCUUCUCUGAUGUUAGCGGCGGACGGGUGAGUAACACGUGGAUAACCUACCUAUAAGACUGGGAUAACUUCGGGAAACCGUAGCUAAUACCGGAUAAUAUUUUGAACCGCAUGGUCCAAAAGUGAAAGACGGUCUUGCUGUCACUUAUAGAUGGAUCCGCGCUGCAUUAGCUAGUUGGUAAGGUAACGGCUUACCAAGGCAACGAUGCAUAGCCGACCUGAGAGGGUGAUCGGCCACACUGGAACUGAGACACGGUCCAGACUCCUACGGGAGGCAGCAGUAGGGAAUCUUCCGCAAUGGGCGAAAGCCUGACGGAGCAACGCCGCGUGAGUGAUGAAGGUCUUCGGAUCGUAAAACUCUGUUAUUAGGGAGGAACAUAUGUGUAAGUAACUGUGCACAUCUUGACGGUACCUAAUCAGAAAGCCACGGCUAACUACGUG